AUACGGAGGGUGCAAGCGUUACUCGGAAUCACUGGGCGUAAAGGACGCGUAGGCGGGUUGGAAAGUCUGAUGUGAAAUCCUACAGCUUAACUGUAGAACUGCAUUGGAAACUUCCAACCUAGAGUAUGGGAGGGGGAGAUGGAAUUAGUGGUGUAGGGGUAAAAUCCAUAGAUAUCACUAGGAAUACCGAAAGCGAAGGCGAUCUCCUGGAACAUAACUGACGCUAAGGCGUGAAAGCGUGGGGAGCAAACAGAAUUAGAAACCCUAGUAGUCC
rnacentral:rRNA from 1 species